AUUGAACGCUGGCGGCAUGCCUUACACAUGCAAGUCGAACGGUAACAGGGAGCUUGCUCCGCUGACGAGCGGCGAACGGGUGAGUAAUGCAUCGGAACGUACCCAGUAGUGGGGAAUAACGCAGCGAAAGCUGUGCUAAUACCGCAUACGCACUGAGGUGGAAAGCAGGGGACCUUCGGGCCUCGUGCUAUUGGAGCGUCCGAUGUCAGAUUAGCUAGUUGGUGGGGUAAAAGCUCACCAAGGCGACGAUCUGUAGCUGGUCUGGGAGGAUGAUCAGCCACACUGGGACUGAGACACGGCCCAGACUCCUACGGGAGGCAGCAGUGGGGAAUUUUGGACAAUGGGGGCAACCCUGAUCCAGCCAUGCCGCGUGAGUGAGGAAGGCCUUCGGGUUGUAAAGCUCUUUCGGCCGGGAAGAAACCGCCAUCUCUAACAUAGGUGGUGGAUGACGGUACCGGAAUAAGAAGCACCGGCUAACUACGUGCCAGCCGCCGCGGUAA
rnacentral:rRNA from 1 species